CGAAGUGUGAGGACAAGACAUAGCUACAAGCACCUCCCGGUUUCAAUGCUCGUCCCGGUUCAAGAGAGAAAGAUACUCAUGUGCGACAACUGGAGCCCUAGAAAGGAAGUUUCUCCUCACCAUCAGUGUUCAUCCUUGGUAGAAAGGUGAGGCAAGAUGAGAUCUCAGAGAGCCCUCCCUCUUCUGCCCCAUCUGCUACGGUGGGGAUAGAUACUCCCAUACAGGAAGUAGCAGAUCUUCACUGUUAAAGGAGGCACAACACACUGCAGUCCCUUGAGCCCAGGCGAAAAGACUUGCUACUUCUAAGGAAGCGACAGAAACAGGCACCUCUCUGCCUCUGGAGUUGGAAGGGAAACUGUCCAGGGCCCAGAACUCUUAGAAGGUAUCAAUCACACAAGGAGUAGCAAGAAAUGCUCUCCCACCUAAGAGCAAACACAGACACAAGGCAAGACAUAAGAGUCCAGCUGCCAAGGAAGGAGAGGGAAGCGUGCUGAGAAAACCUACUUCCAAGGCCUCCUUGAGUCUGAGACUCAACCGUCAGGAAGAAAAGCCUUUUACCCCUUCACAAGCCCAACAAUGGACGAGCAGGAAAGAGCAUUGCUGUGACCAGAGCAGGCAGGGCAGACACACCGGAGCACAGCACUCAGCACAGGAAGUACCAGCAAACAUUAGCCACUACCAGUAGAAGUUAAAAGUCUGCCAGCUCAGCAUCUGACUCCUCUCCCCCAACCUUCACACCAAUGGGAAAAAAAGCAAUGCGGCCAUUGGCAAGGAAAAAAAUACUACCAGCCUCAGUCUCUUACAUGUCUACCAUUUAAUAAAGAUGCAAGGAGAGGCAGUCCAUUGUCAAAUGAUCACAGGUACAGAGAGAUGAUAUAGAUACUGGAGCCAUUAUCAUGAUCAGACAUCUAACGGAAAAAAUAAACCAACAGAGACGAAAUAUUAGCAGAGAGUCCAGAACUAUUAAAAUGGAACGUCACAGGGCUGAAAAGAUGGCUCAGCACAUGAAGGAACCUGCCAUCAAGCCUGCAAUCUAAGAACAGCCUACCAAAAGUUGUCCUCUGACCACAACAUACACAAACAAAUAAAUAGACAAGCAUAAAAAAAUUAUGAACCAUUGAACAGAAACACUAGAAUUAAUAUAAAAGACAGUGUUAGAGACCAAGACUAUUACGCUGGAUGUAGUGAUAGAUUUACAGAGUUCCAAACUAGAAUACAGAGCAAAACUAAGGAAAAUGUGAAUUUUAAAAAGAGCCACAACUGUAGAGCAAUACCAAAUGUCUAACAUGCAACUUUAAUUCAGAAAGAAAAAUUGGAAUGACUAAAACCAAAAAAGCCAAAUUUCUCCAAAAUUAAAAACACCAAGCCACAAACCCAAGAGCCAUCAAAGAUGACAAGCAGAAACCUCCUCAAAAAACAAUGAACAAAACACUUUCUUGUCCAGCUGUUAGAAAAUAACAGUGUCUUAAAGAGAUAUUAUCUGUAGAGAAAGUUUAAAAAAGAUCAGUGUAACAAUUUAUAAUUUAAAACCAAAAAAAAAAAAAAAAGAACCUGGAAUCUUCACAGGCCUGGUGGCUUUGGCUAAUUAUAAACUGAGACAGGAAGGUCAUGAGUUCAAGGCCAGUGUGGGCUCCAGAGUGAGCUCCUGUUUCAAAAAGAGAAAAAUUAGUUGUAAACUUCAUCUCACCGACUCAUGAUGUUGUGGUUCGGUAUUUCCAGAGAGCAUUUUUCCAGAUAGAGGAUAAAUAUUAAGGAAACUGCUCCCAUCCUCUGGUGGGGUUUUGUUUGUUUAUAGUUCCUGAAUCUUUUUUUUUUUUUUUUGAACUAUCACUAUGUAGCCUAGGCUAGCCUUGAACUCACAAUCUCCCCCUUGCCUUAGUCUCACAGACACUGGGACUACAGACAUGGAACAACAGGCUUGGGUGUCUUGGCUAACAUUACCAUCUUAUGGUGCAGAAGGAGAGACAAACAUUCAUUAAGCACUCCCCACCCAGGAGACUUUACUUUGUACCUGACAGAAUGGGUAAUUGUUUUUUAAAAACACAGUCUUAAAUUUCAACAUAUUUUUAAACUAACUCCAUGAAGAUUUUCAUUCUUACAUUCUCUACCUUUUGUUUUGUAGAAACAGAUAUUAAGAUAAGCACUUGUAGGGCCAACUCUACCCUCAGCAAAGUAGCACCACUGAUCCUCCCCACCUACCGAGUUUUACAGAUUGUAAUCUCCAACACGUUAUCUCGCUUUCUGCAAUUUCGUGAGUACUUUGUCUUUCCCUCCACAGAUUUUCAAUUAUUCACAAUAAAGUCUUUGACAUAUGCCCACAUUGAAUCGGCCUUCAUGCUUAUGAUUCAUGUGGUGGUUUGAAUAAGAAUUGUUCCCAUAGGCACAGGUACUUGAGUGCUUUAUCAUUGAGGAAGUGGCAAUACUUGAGAAGGAUUAGGAGGUGUGGCCUUGCUGGAGGAGGUGUGGCCUUGCUGGAGGAGGUGUGUCACUGGGAGUGAGCUUUGAGAUUUCAAAAGCCUAAGCCAGGCCCAGUAUCUCAAUUCUUCUUGCUGCCUGCAGAUCCAGUUACAGGACUGCCAUCUACUUCUCCAGCACAUACAUGUCAACCAGUGUGCUGCCAUGUUUCCCACCAUGAUAAUAAUGGACUAAUCUUUGAAACUGUAAGAAAGCCUCAAUUAAAUGCUUUCCCUUAUAAAAGUUGCCUUGGUCGUGGUGUCUCUUAACAGCAAUAGAACACUAAGACAAGCUAACAUGCUUGGGGG
rnacentral:lncRNA from 1 species